UGGGGAAUAUUGCGCAAUGGGCGAAAGCCUGACGCAGCGACGCCGCGUGAGGGAUGAAGGCCUUCGGGUUGUAAACCUCUUUCACCUAUGACGAAGCCUUCGGGUGACGGUAGUGGGAGAAGAAGCACCGGCCAACUACGUGCCAGCAGCCGCGGUAAUACGUAGGGUGCGAGCGUUGUCCGGAAUUAUUGGGCGUAAAGAGCUCGUAGGCGGCUUGUCGCGUCGUCUGUGAAAACCCGGGGCUCAACUCCGGGCUUGCAGUCGAUACGGGCAGGCUUGAGUGCGGUAGGGGAGACUGGAAUUCCUGGUGUAGCGGUGAAAUGCGCAGAUAUCAGGAGGAACACCGGUGGCGAAGGCGGGUCUCUGGGCCGUAACUGACGCUGAGGAGCGAAAGCGUGGGGAGCGAACAG
rnacentral:rRNA from 1 species